rnacentral:lncRNA from 1 species
UUAUUUUUUAGUCUGUUUCAUAUAAAUACUUUAACCAACCCUUUAGUGUGUCACUUAAACACUAGAAUCCCGCGAGGUAUUUCACAUGUAAAUCACAUAUAAUGAGCACGUGAAUGUCAAAUAUAGUCUGACUGGACUAUUCCAACAGUACAGAUCCAAAAUCCCAUGUUAUAUUAACUCCCUUUCCCCUUUCUUCUUCUUCUCCAAGCCUUAAUUCCCCUUCUUCAUCCCGAAUUUCUCCGGCAAAAUUGAAAUUUUUUUCUCCAAUUUGAAAGACCCUCGUCCUCCUUCUUCAAUUUUAGUUGAAGCUUUCGUCACAUCUUUCCUCUCUCAGUCUGUUGCUUGAAAAUGUUUGAAAAUUCAAAAAGGAUUGAUUUGUGCCGAUGUGGUCGGACAUGUUUGUUGAAAAUCUCAUGGAGUUCGGCAUCCAGGCAGAAGAUAUUUUGUAUGCAAAAAUGCCGUAGUAAGUAUAUAUUUCGAUAUUCUUUUCUGUUUCUUUGAUCUUCAUAUUGGUACAAAAUAGUCAAUUUUUUAAAUUGAUUUAUUUGGAUAUAUUUUAAAGGACAAAUGAGGAUAUAACUACUUCAGAUGGUUUGGGGAGGCAUUUUCUGAUCAAGCAAAUAAAGUUAUUUGGAGUUUGUUGAAGAGAGUCAAGGCCUUUGAUCAAGAAAGGAAAUGAGCUAGACAAUGGAGGAAUAAGUUAUUAUUUGUUGUUCUACUACUUGCCGUAAUUAUUUGGGUGUAUUGUUGUUCUUGUGAUUGUUGAUGCCAAACGAAUUCGAAAGUGGCAGAAGGUAGUUGAUAGUGUAUUAAUGGGAUGAUAGUUAGUGUUCUUAGUGUUUGAGAGUUUUUUGGCAGUUAUUGCCUUCUGUUGUAUGGAUGUUGUUUGAGUAAUUUGUAUAAUAAGUUGUUGGAUGUUUACAACAUAUUUAGCUAUUGAUGUAAUUUAAUGUCUGAAACAUAUUUUGAUCGCAAUAGUUCUAAGAAACAUUUAUUCGAAUUCUCAUUUUGUGCCUAUUGUAGAAGCUGGUAACACCAUGAAUGUUUUGUGCCUAUUCUCAAUUUGUGCCUAUUGAUUCAAGUAUUUAGGUAAAGCAACGACAUGGUAAAAAAUUGGUAACAAA